AUAUUCUUAAUUACAACAACUUAUAUAAUGCCAAAAUAUGGUUGGCAAGUUUCUACCCAGUACCGUAAAUGCUGGACUAUAAGUAGGGAAAACAAACAA
rnacentral:ncRNA from 2 species